AAAAAAUUUUAAAAAUUUUAAAAUUGAUAGCACAGCACUGUCCUCCAUGAUUAUAUCCCCAACCCAUUCAAUCACCACCACCACCUCAUACAACCUUCACCUUUAUCACCUCUUCCUCUAAUUCAAUCUCAAUCUCUCUCUAGCUUUAUUCUCACAAUCUCAAAGAACCCACCAACAUAUCGACAACAAGCCCAGCUCUCUUUGCCUUUUCUUUACAUGUCAUUCUCAACGACAGUGAAAAAAACUAAAUCCCCCAACCCAUCUCAAUCGGCGUCGUCGGCAAGCCUUCACAACGCGGAGAACGAGAUUGAGAUCCUCUCCAGAGUUCACAACACAGGAUUGUGAUUCUGCGCAAAUUCGGUAGUCGACGACCCACGGUGAGGAGAGAAAAUUGAAAAACCAUCUUCGAAUCUGGGUAGGCUGCUGCGACUGGGUUCAAUGUUUUGUGUAUGGAAGGGAGAGAGAGGAAGAGAGGGGGAGAGAGAAGAAGACAGUGGGAGAGGGAGACGGGUGGGUUGGGUUGGAAGGG
rnacentral:lncRNA from 1 species